UUUAAAAAAGAAUCCGCAUGAUGAGCGGGUUAAUCAGCUGACAGAAAGUUCACCAGCAGCUGCUGUGAUCCAUCAGAACCACCUGUGUACAGUCACAUGCGAACUCGAGCUGCUUCUCUCGCCUCACUCUGAGCUGAAUAUCUCCGCACGUUGGGAUCGUUGUCGUGACAAAACAAGAGAUCUGAAUAUUUGGACCUGAUGAGACCUUUCAUGAAAGUCCUGCAUCAACUCCUCCUGUCUCUAUGAACAGGAGAACCAGAUGCCGGUGUGGAACUUCCUCAUCACGUACUUGUCCUCCCCGGUCUCCCAGAUGUACUGCACCAGCCGCGUGUCGUUGAUGUUGGAGCUGUUGAACCGGAUGCAGAACGACUGCUUGGUGGUGACCGGUCCGGUGCAGAACGGCUUCACCACCUUCCGAGUGCCCUCGCACCAGUAGCUGGUGGUGAGAGCCGACACGGCCAGGAACAGGGCGAGGAAGUUCAAGAUAAAGGCUGAAUUUGUGUAUGACCGCCAUCGACUGAAUUCAACAUGUACAACCUCACAGGCGACUGGAAACAUUUGUAAAGAGAGGACAGAAGCCAAAACACUAGAGAGCGUUUUGGCAGCCACCGCUAUUGUUAACACUGUUUCGGACGAGGCGGAUGGGUCGUGUGUGUCACUGUGGUCAUGUUAUGACUGUAUGGAUAAAGGAGGAAUUCAAAGCCCAACAACUCGUUCAGCCUGAAUAUGGCCUGUCACAGAUCCUGACGCUCUCCUCCAGGGGUCUACUGAGCAGCCCACAGUGGAGAUAUAUGUUAUAAAAGACAAAGAUACCAGCGUCCACCUCAACCAGGCUGACUGUCGGCAUCUGACAGAGGACAUACUGUAUUCCUUAUGAGGCAGCAUUGGUUGAUAUAGCUGUAAGAUGUAAAACGUUUGGUGACGUAGAGAACUGGUGUCACCAGGUUAAGGCACUCACAUCUGAAGGGUUGUAUUUUUCUUGGCUGAGGAUAUUUGAUUUUUUUUUUUUAUCCUUGUUGUGAAUAUUUGCUGUUUUUCCAGGUUCUGGAAUAAAGUUUGUAACUGUUCCAUAUUUUCACUCCAUAAUCAAAUUGAA